rnacentral:pre_miRNA from 7 species
GUCUAGGACCUCUGGGUGGUCGCGCGAUCCCGGACGAGCCCCCAAAUGAAAGACCCCCGAAGGGAGACCCUCACUCAAGCCUUGGGACAGCCGCGGACCCAAGAAGACACUGAGACCG